rnacentral:lncRNA from 1 species
CCAAGAUGCCUUUAAGAAUUUAAUGUGGUCAAGGGGAUAGGGAGAUAAAUAAUACAAGCGAGGAAAGGAGGCUUCGGGCUGAUUUACUGAAGCCUCUUAGCUAAAUUCUUUCCACUCAUAAUCUCAAAGAGGUGGAGCUUUUUGGCUGCAAUGUCUGCACAUUUCCCAUCUUACAGAAGAAGCUCCAAGCGCACUCAGUGCCUGAAGUUAAUUUGAGGACGGAGGUGCCUGAGCUGUGCACGGCUCCUCUCCGCUGCUCCUCACCAUCGUCUGCAGCAAUUUCCUAGAGCCAGAGGAGGGCUGCGUUUGGAGCAGGCCCCUUGCUGACAAGGUGUGAACAGAUUGAUGGCCGUCCCGUCCCACCUGGCGGCACAGGAAUACGCGCAGCCCGAGCGGGCUGUCCGGGAAUCCCCGCCGAACCUGAGCCCUGCAGGAACAGCCAGCAGCUGCAGUUGGGUUCUUCCGUGCUCGUGGACUUCCUCCUCCAAGGCAUUUCCAGCAGCAGUUACCUAGAGGAAUGCACAAGAGCUGUCUGAGCAUGUUUAAGAGCACGUUGGUAGCCAGCAGGAUUGUUUGAAGGAUGAUAAACCUGCCUCAUCUUCAUGCAUCCCAUGUCCCUGCAACUUCUGGAUGCUGGACAGGUUCCACAGUUCUUGAUGUCCUCUCGAAGCAGGAGCCCUGGGCUGAUGGAAGUGGGCAGUGUCUUCUCCAGAAGCACCGAGCCAGGUGAGCAGUAGGUGAUUGUUGCUGUCUGUGUUUCGUGUCUCCAAGGAAAGGAAGUGUGUGUGGGGGAAACAUUUCUGUUCCCUAACUGCUUUUUAUUUCAGAAAACAGCAAAAUGUUUUGUCUGUUAGAAAAAGAGAGGCCAGCUUUCACAGUGAAGGUGAAAAUAUGUUUCUGUGUUGAUAUUUCUUUUUUAAUAUUUUUAUUUUCCAUGGACUUUUGGCUCACUUUAUUUACAUAUAUUAUAACCUCCCUACUGAGUAAACAAGAGUUGCCCAGCUAAGCAAACAAGCCCGAGGGUGAUGGGAGAGGGAGAGAGAAAGGAGAAGAAUAGCGAGAGGGAGAGGAAAAGAGAGGUGGCAAUAGGAAAAGGGUAAACAGACAAGCACUAAUUAAGGCCUUCAUCACAAGCAGGGAGAUGUGCGAGGCUGACAGUCAGUCAAGCAGAUAAGGGGAGAUGAGUUAAAAUCUAGCCGCAGGUUUUGAAGGCCCGGGGGCCCUGGCAGACAAGAGCACAGUGAACGAACAGGAAGCCACUGAAAGGUCAUUUGCAUGAAAUGAUGUUCAGGAUCUUUGCUUUUGUUGUUGCCCUGAUGGCUUUAACCCGUUCCUGGCCCAGGAAGCACACAGAGAUCAGACACUGGUAGGCAGGCGCUGUACAUGGCUUGAAGGCUUCUUUGGGUGGCCUCCAAGGGAGCAGUGCUUCAUGGAGGGACAGAGUGCUUGCGUUCCCCUCUGAAAGCAAGGGGAGUUGAAACUCUUUGGCAAGUGACGUGGUCACACUCCAGCAGAGCGG